CUUAGAAUCGAUUAGAUGACCUAACAGUUUUUAGCUCGGCUGUUUUCGGAGAAAACCCGAGAUAUUGUCAUAGCCAGCUCGUCUGCAUCGUGCUAAAACCUUAACAUUUUGUCAAGGUUUUGAACAUUGGCUAUAAAAUCAAAGUGCUUCCACCUACAACUUUGAAACUUCAUAUAUAGCUGCACCUUGACGAGUUUUACAUGCCUCACCCAUAUUUUGUUCACUAGGUCAAAGGUACAAGUCGCUGUGACCUCUAAAAAAAAUUAUUUUUCUGACAAGCUUUCAUUUAUUAAAAAAUGCACCCGCAGCCAAGUGUUGGCACUCGUUAUGCGGUGCUCUUGUAUUAAGCUUUUGUUAGCCACUCUUAUUUUAUUUUAUAAAAAAAUCAAAUAAACUUCAUCAUACUGACCUUAUUGAACCCUUUCAUGAAGAAACAAAAUUAGACUUAUUGAUUAAAAUACAACAGCAUAGUCAAGGAAAAUCAAAUUUUAUUAUGUUAUUUUAUAUUUAAAUACAAAAAUAAACGGAAUUUGGAUAAGAAAUCGUCAUUUUUUGACGAACGUAUCUCCCAGCUUCUAAAAAGUUCGGCCUAUAUUUCCGCAUUUUUCAACUAAGCUGAAGUUUGAUGUCAAAUAAAGAGAAUAUGCCGCUAAGGUUUGCCAAUCGACUUUAUUGGAAUCAUUUGAAAAGGAACAUCGAUCUCCAUCUUUAAAAGAAUGAACCCCUACUGACUACCAACUCAGACCAAGGGUACACUGUCUCCCAAAUAAUUUCAUGUCCAGGUGCCGCCAAACCACAUAUGAUGUCUAGCCCAGAAUGCGAAGAACCCAAGCUUUUAAUGCCACAAAGUUCAAGCCCAGGAGCCACUGAACAUCAGCUGACUGCGAGUCCAGGUAGAACUGAACCCCCAAUGAUGUCAAACACAGAAUGUGUGGAACCCCAGCUGAUGAUACCAAAAGAGUUGUUCCAAGUCCUGGAGAGUUUCAAAAAGAAAAGAACAUGCAUGGACUAUGGGUUCAAUUCUACAAAAGAGAGAAACAGAAUUUAUGGACUCUGAAAGACGAGACAUUUUUUGUUUGUUGGGAAGAUAUAAUUAGAAAAUGUGAAGGACCAUUAAUUACAAUGCGCAGAUCAAGAGUGUAUUACAAAUUCUAAGUGCCUUACUGUGUCAUUAUCAAUCCUGAUUGAAAGGUUUGAAAUAAACUUUUAUUUUAUAAGAAAACUGCUUUUCAUAUAUUUAUUCUGCUUAUUUUGUUGAAGUGGGUUUGAAAAGUCAUCAGCUGCAUAUUUCUUAAAACAGGGAUAGAGCUAACCCAGUGCUGCAUGUAUAAACAUCGAACUCACUUGUAGAAAACGUCUUAAAAACAUUGACACAAUGUGACCAAAGGGAGAGAUACAUGGUAUGGGAAAUUUCUCUUGUCGUAAUUAAUAUGAGUGAAAAGUUAUUUUGGUGAAACAUAACAUGAAUAAAAACAUGUUUGCAUUUAAAUUGUUUAUUUGUUGUUGUAAACUUUAUAAAAGUUUAGUAAGGUUUUUUAAAUUGUUUGAUUUAAUCCAAAGACUUUGCUUUUUACUUGUAAGUCCUUACCAAAUCUCUGAGUUUAGACGUCUAUUGUUAAGCCAGCAUGACUUUAUCAAAGCCGUCCAUAGACUGGACAAAAUGAUCGAAUAUAUGCGCAAAAGAAGCAAACUGUUAUCAUUUUUUGCUAGCAGAUAUAUCACUCGGACGUAGAGAACUUUUAUUAAGCCUUUCCCAGUUAGGCAACGUUUGAAUGUCCGCAGAAUGCAACAUUUGGAAACAUAGUGACUAAAGGAGAUUUUGCUCAUUAUGAGCAAAUUCUUCUUUUGUCGCAAUGUUUAAAAAUAAUUAACAUAGUUAUACAUCUUUUCAGAGUACUUUGUCCUAUUUAACCAAGAUAUUUAUAAAAGCUGUCUGCUGAAGAUUUCUUGUAGAAAGUUGAAGAUUUAGGCAUACUACAGUUUUUACUCUUUGCAUGCCAAGGGCAAACAGUACAGAUUUAGACAAUGUUUAAUAAGACCAGCUUGCACAUGUGUGCAGCCUGUUAUUGCUUUAUUUCUCAGGUAUGGAAUGUAAUGGAUAUGGUCAUUUCAUGUUAAUGGUAUGUUAAAUUGUAUCAUGGCUGUUUGUAUCUUCUUAAAGAAUGCUUAAAUAUUAUUAAUCAGUAGUAAUUAUAAACAAUUGAAUACAAAUUUUGUAUUGUCGUUGUUGUAAGUAUCUUUAUAUAUAUAGGAAUACUUAAGUGUUAUUUUCAAUAAUUAUUAUAAUUAAGUUAAUAUCUAUUUGGUAUUAUCUUUGUUUGUCUUUUUCAAAAGUUCAACGGUCAAAUGUUAAUUAUCAGCAGUUAUAAUACUUAACUUUAUAUCUAUUGUUCAGUAAAAGUUAGCUUCCAAAUAUUAAGUUCACAUCGAAUAUGUUAAGAACAUUCUCCGUAUGUAAACUAAUUUCUAACAAUCACAUUUCCUUGACAUGCUAUUAAAUUGAAACAUGUAUUAUGUUUAAAUGGCUAUGUAAUGAUUGUAUUCGCCAAUAAAAUUGUCUGUAUGUCUGUCUUUAAACAGUUAAUAAAAUCUAUAACCAUGAA